rnacentral:rRNA from 1 species
UGCGGAGGGUGCGAGCGUUGUCCGGAAUCACUGGGCGUAAAGGGCGCGUAGGCGGCCUGAUAAGUAGGGGGUGAAAUCCUGCGGCUUAACCGCAGGGCUGCCUUCUAAACUGUCAGGCUGGAGCACAGUAGAGGCAGGUGGAAUUCCCGGUGUAGCGGUGGAAUGCGUAGAGAUCGGGAAGAACAUCAGUGGCGAAGGCGGCCUGCUGGGCUGUUGCUGACGCUGAGGCGCGACAGCGUGGGGAGCAAACAGG